rnacentral:misc_RNA from 1 species
GAACGCACCUUGCGCUCUUUGGUAUUCCGAAGAGCAUGCCUGUUUGAGUGUCGUGAAAUUCUCAAUCCUUAUUCUUUCUUGAUUGGAAGGGUUUGGAUUGGAUUUGGGGAUUGCUGGUUGGUUUUCAAUCAAUCGGCUUCCCUUGAAUGCAUUAGCUGGAGUAUGACUUUGCAGCAUAUAUGCGGUGUGAUAAUGUCUUCACUGCGUAGCUCUAAGUUGUCUGGCUUCUAAUCGUCUUCGGACAAUUUUGACAAUCAGACCUCAAAUCAGGUAGGACUACCCGCUGAACUUAAG